rnacentral:rRNA from 1 species
GAUUUUGAUUACGUCCCUGCCCUUUGUACACACCGCCCGUCGCUGCCCGGGACUGAGCCAUUUCGAGAAACUUGGGGACCGCUGAUUCGGUGGCUUUCACGAGUUGCCGCUUUGGUGGAAACCAAUUUAAUCGCAGUGGCUUGAACCGGGCAAAAGUCGUAACAAGGUAGCUGUAGGUGAACUGCUGCUGGAUCAUUACAUACACUACUUAUUGGUUACGACCAUUUGAACACAUGGCGUUGAGUGUGUUUGCUUCUGGUUGCGAUGAUGCAUGCACUCUUCGCUCGCUCUGAGGAGCGUAACGGCUAACGUUGGUGUCUGUGUGUUGCUGAGCAGUUGUUCUUUCGUCCGUGGCUGUGAUGAGGCAACAUGUUAGGAUGGUAUACCCACACCAUUGUCUCGGGUAUGCUGUUUAAGACUUAAUGAGCCCGCUGUCUUGGGACGCCAACAUUUUUCCAUUCAUUCAAUUUUUUUUGUUGAACAAGUUGCAGUAUAAUGCACAAAAAAUUCUAGUCUUACCGGUGGAUCACUCGGCUCGUAGAUCGAUGAAGAACGCAGCCAAAUGCGAUAGAUAGUGUGAACUGCAGAAACCUUGAACACUAAAGAUUCGAAUGCACAUUGCGCCAUUGGAGUCAUAUCCAUUGGCACGCCUGGUUCAGGGUCGUAACGGAAAAAUGCACAAAGUGUCAGUGUGCUUACAGUGUGCAUGUCCACACACUAUGCGUAUGUGUGUGUGUUCAUGUAUUAAUAAAGUUGGAAUGCACAUUUGUGUGCUGUGUGGAUAGUGCGAGCGUACACGAGUUUGUGAAUUUGGUUGCAGUAUGUUGUCUCUCUCUCUUCUUCAACCAACUCGAUCGCUAUGAAGGUUUUUUUUGUUGCUAAAAGCCUGCGCACUAUUCAUGCACAUACAAUGUAUGCAUGAAACAUCACACCCCUCAGUGUGGUGUUGUACUAAUCGUCCGUAUUUCGACCUGAACUCAGACGUGAGCACCCGCUGAACUUAAGCAUAUCAGUAAGCGGAGGAAAAGAAACUAACAAGGAUUCCCUUAGUAACGGCGAGUGAAAAAUCACUAGU